rnacentral:rRNA from 1 species
UACGAAGGGUGCUAGCGUUGUUCGGAAUUACUGGGCGUAAAGCGCGCGUAGGCGGUUUAACAAGUCAGAGGUGAAAGCCCUGGGCUCAACCCAGGAAUUGCCUUUGAAACUGUUAGACUUGAGUGUCGGAGGGGAUAGCGGAAUUGCUAAUGUAGAGGUGAAAUUCGUAGAUAUUAGCAGGAACACCGGUGGCGAAGGCGGCUAUCUGGACGACAACUGACGCUGAGGCGCGAAAGCGUGGGGAUCAAACAGGG